UAGAACGAAGCUCGCUGGAUAGAGUUUUUAGCUGUUAAUUAAAUUAUCGCGGGGUCGAAGCCCGCCGUUCUAG
rnacentral:tRNA from 1 species